rnacentral:misc_RNA from 1 species
GAUGAAGAACGUAGCGAAAUGCGAUAAUUAAUGUGAAUUGCAGAAUUCCGUGAAUCAUCGAGUCUUUGAACGCACAUUGCGCCUCAUGGCAUUCCGUGAGGCAUGCCCAUCUCAGCGUUAGAAAAUAUUCUCAAAUUUUAGUUUUGUGCUAAAAUUUGGAUCACGUCAAGGAAGCUAUUACUAUUAUUGUGAUCGCUCUUUGGAAAUUGAUAGGUCUUUGAGUUGCUACUCAUAGAACGUGAUGAAUCUUUCUUCGUUCUAUUGUAAUUCACUCUGGUAGUCCUAAAACUUGUAUGCCUGUGGCAUAUCUUGUAAUUUGACCUGAGAUUGGGUAGGGAUACCCGCUGAACUUAAGCAUAUCAAUAAGCGGAGGA